AGAGAAUGAGUGAACUGGAGGUGGUCACUAGUGAAAGAAGGAGACAGUGUCUGGUGUAUGAACUAUGUCAAAGCAAGAGGUUCUACCCAGGCAAAGCUCUGAGUCCCAUCUCACUGGACAGACUUAAAGAUCAGGGUGCCAGAGAUCUAACACCAUAUGCCUGGAGGCAUCGUCUAUUCCUACACUUGGUCUUAGCCAAAAGGCCGAGAAGCCAUACAUCGUCUAUUCCUUUUUUUUUUUUUAAGAUUUAUUUAUUUAUUAUAUAAGUACACUGUAGCUGUCUUCAGACACACCAGAAGAGGGCAUCAGAUCUCAUUACAUAUGGUUGUGAGCCACCAUGUGGUUGCUGGGAUUUGAACUUAGGACUUUGGAAGGGCAGUCAGUGCUCUUAACCACUGAGCCAUUUCUCCAGCCCCAUCGUCUAUUCCUAAACCUUCCAGAGGGAGCCUCACAGCAGCCUCUCUCUCUAAAAAGCCCUCGGCAGGGAAUCUCAAAGGGAAUAGGAAAGAUUAGUUUGGCAGGUAGGUCUAAGGUUAGUAAUUUAAAAUUGUAAGAUAUUUCUUGCAUUUCUCAUUCGCCUUUCCAAAAUGGCAUCUAUUUUCACGUAUAAGAAUAAUACAAAUUUUCUUGUCAGUUUGUGUAAAUCUAAAUAAUCAGCACUAAAAGCCACGAGGCUGGCCAUAGAGUCAUGGCAGUACGAGAUGACUUUAGCCUCAAGCGGGCUUCUGGGACUUUGUAAGUCUCCCAAGAAACCGAUGAAAGAGUGUAUGGUAACUGGGUAACCACUCCUUCAGGGAGGUCCACAGUUUUUAUCAUGUUGCUUUUAAAGCCUUGACUCCAAGUGUGAGGAACGACUAUUUUGAAGUCUGAGCCAUUCAGCCAGUACCCACAAGCCAGCCAUGCUCAGAGUGAGAAAUGUUCCAAGUGUGAUACGUGUCUGAUUUCAGUGACCUGCCUUACCAGUGAUUUGUCACUCAUUCAGUCGAGUACCUUGUCAAUGCAGCUUACACGUGUGUGUGAGAGAGGUGGGGGAGGGGAGACGGAGAGGAAGGGGGAGAACUGUGGUAUCAUCUGUAUAGGCAGUGUACCACCCAUGUGUACAUGCACAGGGCACAGGAGGUCUGCUGUGUGUCCUGCUCUGUCACCCUCCAUCCCUUUCUUGACACAGGGUCCCUUACUGACCACCUUGGCAGCCAGCAAGCCUAGUCAGUUCUCCCAGCAGUGCUGGGGUUACAAGCCUGCAUGAGCACAUCUGGAUCUUCACACGAAAUCUGAACUCAGGUUCUUAUGCCUGUGUGGCAAGCACUCACACUCACAUCUCUUUGGCCUCAAAAUUACAGCGUCAACAUAACCUUCACUUGAUCUUUUCUUUGUAAUGUAGUUACAUAAAAUUCAACAUUACAUGCAUGACAAGUUUGUGUCAUAUUCAGCAGACAGUGCUGGAUUACAGCAUCAUAUUUAACAGACGGUGCUGGAUUACAGCAUCCUAUUCAGCAGACAACACUGGAUUACAGCAUCAUAUUUAACAGACAGUGCUGGAUUAUAGCUUCUCAUCAAGAAAAUAAACCACAGAAGCCUGUAAUAAAUACAAUUGCUAACAAGCAGAAAGCUGUUACAGUAGGAAGGCAGAGAGCAAUGUUGAAAACAUUUGCUGACUUUCCCAAGAAUUGACUUGGGAAGACAUUCGCUGUCUGUCCUUAAAUCAGCCAGGAGAGUAAAUCAGAGGCACGAGCUUAACAGUCAGUUCAGGGUAAGAGAGCUAUAAUUAUUUUUGAAGCUUCUGAGAAGAGGGAGAGUUGAAUGGCUUUAUUUUGUCUUUUCUGACUCUAAUCUACAUCUACCAAGCAAGACAGAUGCUGUACUUGCUUGAGUCAGGCUUGGCUUCCCCGACUGCUGUAUAGUGCUCCUUGGGUGGCCAUGGGGGUGGGGAGCCUAGGCUCCUCCUCCUCCUCUGGCCACCAGCUUUUGACUUGGGCUCUCUAGCCCCGAGGCAUGGCACUCUUCCUUCAGCUGUUUAUCUGGAGCUGGGAGGGGGUGGCUACAGGGGACAGUUGCCUGGGAACUUAAAUAUGACUGGGGACAUUGUUUCCUCUUCCGUCAUUCUUAUCAAGGUCGUGACUCAGAACACCCCGGUGAUGUCGCUCUCUCGUCAUAGGAGCUGGUGUCCCCUGUGGCUCAGCAGCUUGUGAGCUUAGCCUCAAGCUCAGUCUUACCCCUCUGUCUAAUCUUUCUGAGAAAAGAUCAAAGCCUUUAGCAACACUGCCCCUCACUCCAAGUGCAUUAAAUGGUCGAGUUCCAGGCUGGCCCUAGGACAGCACCCGUGAGUGAAGCUGCCUGUGUGCUACCACCUUCUUCCGUGUUGCUCCAUCUUUUGCUCUCCCUGACGUUUAAAAGGGGGCCCACCGGUGUCCUGGUUUCCAUAAAAUGACAUCAUCACAGCAGGUGGCCCACGGGGUUACUGUGGCGGCUUCCUCAGAGGCUCCCGUUAACUUUAGCUCCUAAUCAUAUGCUCCAGAUUUUUUUUUCCUCUUUGCUGAGAACUGGUGUGUCUAUCUCUCGAAAUGUCAGCCCAUGCAUGCACUCCAAGCCAGACAGGAGAUUCUGCAGUAACAUCAACCAUGCAACAUAGCCAGCUAGAGGGGAGGCAGAGACAUGGAGUGUCAACUCAGGCAGCCCUAACAUAACUGUGCAUAAAACAUAUCCCUCCAGGGCCUCAUAGGUUCUAAGUUACUGGAUGGCAGGGGCUGGGACAGUCUACAGCUCUGUCAAGUCCCCAGUGGUAUCCACACUACUGGCCAGCUACUGCAUACACUUUGAGUAGCAAAGAACACCUUGGAGUCCUCAGAUCUGGUGUCCAGAAAACCCAGUAGCAGUGUGUGCAGGAGAGAUUCCUCUGAGGACGACUGUCAGUGGACUUCAGAAGCCUUAGCCAUGUAUCUAAACAAAAGGGAUUAGAAAUACAGUCUGGGGUCGGUUCCCAAGGGUUCUGUCACUGGUCACUGCAGCUCACCAUGCCCCAGUUCUCUCAAAAGCACACCCAGCUAUGUUCUCCCUAGUCUGUCAGAUGAGGCCUUGUGCACCUCUGCUCCCUUCUCAGCGUCUGUCCAAACAAGGCCCUGCUACACCUCAGCCGGGCCUUGAGUAGCACCGAGUGGAAAAGCCAUCUUAAGCUGACUCUGUGACUUAUUUGACAGAGCAGCUAUUUUGAAUGUAAAGGUUUUGCUAAAUAAAUAUUUUUCCAUCCCGGUUAUUUGCUCUGUAAACAUUCACACUACUGUGCAAGGUCUGCUUAAAGUAGGACACGUUGCUUUCAGUCCGGAGCUGAUGAGUAGGAAACAACCAUGCUCACGGAGAACACAAAGAGUUUGCAGACUGUUCCCUUCCCCCGGGGGCUUUUUAGUUUUACAAUUCCCAAGUUGGUUUGCCUGCCGUUGUGUAUUUGUGGCAGUUGCUUAACUCCUUAUAAAGUGGCGUCUAAUUUAAUCAGCACUGACUUCGGUGUGUUCUAUCUGGAGGUCAAAAUGACAUUCUUUGCAGUUUUGUAUAUCACGUAGAUGCUGCUACAUGCAUGCUGUACACCUAACACCACGGCAGGUGCUGUCGGCUGGCCGUGAGAGGCAAGAACACAUGGGGGAGGGGAGUGGCGAAUGGGCGCCCGACUGGGUUGAUCGAAGAAUUGAACCGUAUUAGGAAGGCCUACACCGUGCAGCAAAGAGCUAUCAUGUACUUCUCAGCCUGGCUAUUGCUAAUGAGGCAUCUGCCAAAUUAAACGCCCCUCUUCCAGGGAGGAAAGUGACCGGUCCACCCUUGGCUAACAGUUAAUAGUUUUAACAGAUCAGGUAACUGUGUGGUUUUUGGGUUUUGACUGUCUACAUAGUGCUACCCUGGCUGGUUAUCUGUCCCAAGUAAUUCCGACUUUGAGGCUAUUAACACUGUGUCAGGGUCUAAAGUAGAAGUGAAACACUUUUAGACGUGUACCAGUAAGCCAUAGUGCAGCAGCAGUCUGGGGAAGAACCAGGAGUUGCAUCAUCAUCAUCAUCAUCAUCACCACCACCACCACCACCACCACCACCACCACCACCACCACCACCACCUUAACAAAUCCUCUUAACAAAACUGCUGCUGUUAGAAAUACGAAUUACACCCAUUGCCUUUUCUCUACCUGUGCAGGAAGCAAUCCUGCUCGGUACAGUUUUAUCCUUGCCAUCAAAGAUUUCCGGUUGUCCAAAGCGACCGUCAUCGAUACCAUAUCUCUCUGUCUUUCCUUUGGGCUUGCUGGAAACACAAGUAGCAACAACUAGGAGAAUCUUAUGACUUUUGUAGGCUGGCUGUUUCCUCAGAGACGUGUAAUUGGUGGUACUUUCUACUAGCAUAGCAUAGUACUUUGUACAGAGGAAAGCCUGUUGAUUUGAUUGAUGACAGGUCUUCUCUAAGGGAGAUGAUGGCUAGCUCCUGUAUGGGCUGGUAGCUGGAAGUUUAUUGCAAAGCAGAAAUUUCUGGCUUUUGUCGGGACUUCUUACAUUGCUUAGAAAAAGCUGUGGAAUCAUUGGUAGGGUCUGUGCAGACAGUUGCCAAUGUGACAAGGCUCACACAGCAUCAUUGAUUACAACUAAAAUGUGUGUUUAACACAACUAAACAAUUAGAUAAUUUAUGACAGAGAUGAACAUGGUUUUGAUAAAAUAAUUUUUUUUGUUCCAUCCAGGUAAGCGCUACAGGAUUUCACUCAUUCUCCCACUGCUAAGGAGUAUUUUAAGGAAACAUUUAUUCUUUUUCAAAAGUAGCAAAAUGGUGACUAAGGGCUCUCCAGAUGAGAGAGCACCUAACUGUCACGAAGGGAACCAGAAUACUUCUAGGUUCCUUGUGCCCACUGGCAGGGGAAUUACAGUUUACUAUACGGAGUUUGCAAGCGAAUCUGGCAUGACGGCAUAAGCCUGGUCUUGCUACCUGGGCAAUGGGGUCAGAAGGUCACUUGAGUCUAGGUGUUCCAGGCCAGCUUGGGAAACACAGUAAGUCCUUAUCUCAAAUCGAAUCAAUGAAUAACAGCAACAAAACCAAAAACAAACUCAAACAAGGGACCAAUCACAGAAUAACAUCACACAUGAAAGGGUCAAACGUUUUGUGGUAAAUGUAGAAGAAGAGCAGAAAGGGGAGCCAGGGCAGUGAAGGGCUGUAUUUGAUGGGAGCUGUAGUGCUUUAAAUGAAAAAUGUCCCCUGUAGGCUCCCUCAUUUUAACGUGUGGCUUCUAACUGGUGGUGCUGUUUUGGGGAAGUUUAUGUAGUGUAGCUUUGGAGAAGAUAUGCUGCUGGGGGUGGGCUUUGAGAUUGGCCCCCUUUUCACCUCACUUCCUGCUUCCUGCGUGUGGUUAAGGAUGUGAGCUCUCAACUUCCGGCUCCUCCCACCACGCCAUCAGCUUCCAGCUCCUCCCACCGCACCGGCCAUUCACAGCCACGCUUCCCUCCCAGGACAGACUCUUACUCUUUUGCAACCUUAAGCCAGUAGACUCCUCCUUCCAUAAAUGGCUUUUGGUUAUGGUCUUUUAUCACAGAGCGGAAACGUAACAAAGGUUAGUUAAAUGAUGUGCUCAGGUUAGCCUUAAUGGCAGGACAGCAACUGGCUCAAAGCUGUUAGGAGGUGACGGAAGAGCCAGGCAGGCGCCUUCAGGUACCUGACUGUUAGAGAGACAGACAACCAACGCUGGGCACAAAAAAUUAGAAAAAAAAUAUAAUGAAAAAGACAGGAAAAAGUUCUUCAAAAUCUACAUUUAAGGAAACCGUCCUUAAUCUGCUGAAGUCCCUGAGUUCCUCCCACCCCUCCAGUCUUAACGGAAGUGCCUGAAUUCAGCAUGCACGACUUUACACAGAGGCUCAUCCAACGCUACCAAUGCGGCCCACUGUGUCUGAUCUCAUCUCCAACCCCUCCCUACAUGACAUAACCUAGUCACAGAUGAAAUAGAAAACCGAACCAAACCACUGCUGUGUCUAAUUUUUCUUUUUUAAAAAAAUUAUUUACUUAUUUUAUGCGUAUGCACUUGUGUGCCUGAGCCCGGGUCUGUAUGCCACAUGCAUGCAGUGCCCACAGAAGCCAGAAGAGGGCAUCAGAUCCCCUGGAACUGGAGCUAACAGACUCUUAUAAGCUGCUAUGUGGGUGCUGGGGAUUGAACCUGGAUCCUCUGGACGAGCGGCCCUGCUCUUAACUCUCUGUCUAGUUCUAUCUGCCUAAUCUUUACAAUGGUUCUCCCCUGCCAUCAGGUCCAAUUUGAGAAUCUUAAACAGACAUUCACCUUGGCAGUGCUGGUGAUCGCGCUAAACUCUUUACAUUGCUAUAAUUACUGCAGUAUAAAUCCCUCUGCAGACUUCUGUCUGCGGCCACUUCCCUUCCCACUCCCCACAUAACUUUACCUUUGCAGACCCAGGGAAGCUCACUGUCCUUCCGGAAGUCUUGCCCUAUCUCCUGCCCUGCUUUAUAGUUUGUGUCUGAGGGUCCUGCCAAUCUCCCUGGACCACAUUGCAUAUUUGUAGAAGGGAUCUCUUACGUCUUUCGAGAAGAUUCACCUGUAAAAUAAAGCUGGUUGGUCCAUAGCAGAGGCAGGAAAUAGCAGGUGGGAUUACAGUAGGAAGAAAGGACGUUGGGAUAGAGAGAGGCGCAAGAGGAUUGGCCCUGGAGCCUGCAUGAGGACAGAUGUAUGAACCUGAGCAGAGGUAACCAGCCUUGUGUCAGAACUUAGAUGAGAAUGAACGGGUUAUUAACUCGUGAGCUAGUCAGAGAACAUGCCUAGUUAUACGGGCCCAAGUAGUUGUAAACCUAUGUGAGUCUCAGAAUUGUUAUUUUUGGAAACAGGUAAAAACACUUUAUUACACAUAUUUAUACCAAAGUAGCACUAUGAUGUUUUGCAAACACCGGUCUGUUUCUUUGGCUACCAGUUGCUCAAGUGGGCACCAGAGGCACAACCAGCUCAGCUGCACAGAGUGGUCUUGACUCCGUUCCAGCAGAGGGCGUGUCUUCAUUCUUCCAUGGUAGACACUUGGGUUAGUUCCAGAGCUGAGCCAAAAGCUUAGUUACAAAGCAGACACUGGUAGAAUAAUGGCGGCAGACAAACAGGCCGACGGACUCUCUCAGAUCAGUGGCCAGGUAUGACUUUACAGUAUCUACACCACAGGGAAGCUUGCUGGGAUGUAGGCUCCUAGCUGGCUUCCCAACCGGCCGGACAGCAGACGGCAUGUGGAACCUAGGACACUGUGUCAAGAAGCCCUCUAGACAGUUCUAACAAGUAAACACACAGACAGCUCAAAAAGUGAUGACUUCAUUCCAAGGACUCAAAUAAUGUUGCCCUUAAGAAGGGCACUUAAAUCGUAAGACAGCUUUAGAAGAAGACAAGACGUCAUCACGCACAUGGAUCUGCCCACCACCCACAGGUGCUUCAUCUCUCAAUGAGGAGUAAUGUGUAGCAAACCACUAAUGACCCCUCUCUCCUCUUUCCUCCUCUCUCCACGCUAACCAUGGGCUUACAGUUGGUGUUUUUCACAUGGAUGCCUUCAUCCCUCUACUAUAGGAGCACACAGGCAUUUAUCUUUAAUUAGAGACAUGGUCUCGGCUAUUACAGAGCAUCUGUCUCAGUGAGCUCCAUAGAGACACCUGGAGGAGUCGCAGGCACGGGAUGCAACCAGCCUGCUCCUGGCCAACAGAAGUGCAACGGGAGGAACUAUAACCACCCAUCCAAGUUGAUACAGUUGCAGCCAAGUUACAACAUCGAGUGAAGCUUAGGAGCCAAAGACUGUUAAGCGCAAAGUAACAACAGGCUUUGCACUGGCAAACUUGUAUCAUUCUUGCUGAACCCCGCGGGAAGUGCUUAUCAGGGAGGGUCAUGUGCUAUGGGGCAGGAGGAAUCCUGAAUGGUCAUGAAGAGGGCUCUGGCUCCGCAGAUCUGUCAGCGCCGCAGAUGGGCCCUGACUCUGUCAGCUGCCACAGCAAGAUAUCACCUGCCUCCCUCAAAGGAUGCAAGGAUGGCUUGCAAUGAAUUCUUUGUCCUUUGGAAGGAUACGAAAUGAAAAUCUUAGAAGAUGCAGUUCCCAAAGGCAUGCGGCUGUAUCUCCCAGUGGAAAGGAGAGGGGAAAAGAGGGGGAGGCACGUAAGAGGGAGAAAAGGAAGGAAGGAGGCAAGGUGUGAAGGAGGAGAAGGAAGGAAGGAAGGAAGGAAGAACAAACAGUGGCCCUUCCAGUCCCAACAUGACCACUUCCUUUUGCGUACUUUCUUACAGCGAUUCCGUGACUAUCUUUGUCCCUUCUCCCAACCCCCUGAAAGGCCUAUACGUUUGCCAGCUCAAACUUAAUCCGCUGGCACAGAGCCAUGAAAGUUUGCUUUGCCUUUGUGGUAUGUGUGUACAUCCUUAGCUAUGCGUUACUUAUGGGCCGCUGCUGAUAGACCGUAUCAUGGAAGUCUUGCUGAUUUUCUGGUUAGAAAGAAAGAGACCAGGGAAUUCUUUUAUGUGCUGAGAUCUCUUUCAUAAAAGCUUAGAUUAUGUCCCGAAGGGUUUCUCUGAAUGUAGGUGUACAUGCGUAUGAACCAUUGCACAUGAAGAGGGAUGAGUAUACCUUCUCUGCAAAGCUUUGGACUGCACAGGUGGGUAGCUGAUGCACCUGCUCCCACAGACGGCUCCACUCUAUCAGCUUUCUAAUUGCAACCAGGUUGGGGGUCUGGUGCUCCUUCGGGACCGGCUUCUACAUUGCUUUAAGACGGCAAGGUGCCCAGCCAUGCUUGCUUUGCAGCCAGGAGUCAGCGGAAGGGUGGAAUUCUAGUAAGAUCAGUUAGUGGGAAACAUGGUGCUUUUUUACCCUACAAUCCUGCUCUCUACUAGAGCUCCAGCAGGAAUCCUGAACCAAGAAGUCCGGAGGAAGCAGCCAAUACUUGAGAGAAACGUAAGAAGAAUCCAAGUCUCUGAUGAUCAGAGGGCUCGCCUCCUGCUACAAAAUGAACCUUGUGUUCAAACUCUAGUUCAUUAUAGUUUCCUUUUAUGGCAGUCUCUAAAUUCUCUUCACAAAUUUAGUUGUUUACAAAGCCAUUAGCUGACAGGAUACAUUGAUUCAUUUCAGAUGGGAAGGUCUAGUUAAGGGCCACUCUGUCACUGGGACAGUGAGGGGUUUGGACAUGGCCCCCUGGCACCUCUAACUCUUGGUCUAGAAACAGGCAACAGAAGCAACAUGAGCAUGAGGUGAUGUCUGUUAUCCUGUGAGGAUGCUUUUGGUUUUUUUUUUUUUUUUAGCUCAAUAGCAACACUAGAAAAAAUAGAGGAAAGUGGAAGGAGAUAAACUCUUAACAGGACACUCUCACCUGUUAAAGACCUUCCAGGAAUGUGCUGUUUGAACGUGUUCAGGCUGCUGCUUAAACCAAGAGCAAGCAAAGGCAGCGGGGAAAGGGGGAAGUUAGCUGGGUGAGGCCUGAAGGAAGAACGGACCAAGCUUAGAGACAGCUAGCUCAAAGCAGUCCACGAGACAUUCGCCCUGAAAGGGACAUACACAGCUGAUGAGACUCGAGGUCAAGAGAAGCCUUCAAGUAUGAGCCUGCUAGCAGUCUGCUCCUGUCCUGGACUCUUCUACAGACCAGCAGUCCUUCUUACUUCUUACAAUUUUUGCUUCAACUUUCAUUACCUUUUAAUUUCAUUUUUCCUGUAGCCUUGGUCUUAAUACUUAAUAUAAAAUCUCCCCUCUUGUUAAGUAUACAAGUUAGUUUUGGGAACUGUAAAAGGUUAGUAUAAAGCAUUGUACUGCAUAUGCUUAUAGCUUACUCAUCUGUGGAAAAGAAACUUCUACCCAUUGAUAUAAUUUUCAUACACUUUAUAUCUUAUGUACACACACACAUACACACACACACACACACACACACAUACACACACACUUUUUUUUUUUGAGCAGGGUCUUUCUAUGUGAUCUAGGCUGACCUGGAACUGACUAUAUAGCCCAGGCUGGCCUUGACUUCAUGGAGACUUUUUCUGAUCCAUCCUCCCAAAUGCUAAGAUUACAGACAGGUAUAAGACACCACACUGGGCUGAGUUAUACUAGGUGGUAAGCCUCGUUAUAACAGGUGUAUUGUUUAAAUUGUAAAAAUAAAAGUAACAGAGAAAAUAUUCACAGCGUAGAUUUCAAUGAUUGACACUUCUUCUCGUCUCAUGGGAAACUGAAAUCCCAUGUUGCAUUGGGAGAGGGUAGGGUCAGGUUUGGGGCUGGAGCACAUCUUAAACCCUGGCUGUAGGAAGGGACUUCUCGCUCCCUGUCAGCAGAGUGAAGGAGAAAAUGCCUUUUCUGUCUCGGCGGGCUCCAUGUGGCCCGGCUCGCUCUCAAUGACUUGAAUCACAAGGAAGCAAGCACUAUUCCAACUCCUGCCUUACAUAAUUCCAUUUCUGUUCUCAUGCGCGCUAAGCUGGCUGGAAGAAAAUUUGCUAAAUUAAAUUCGGUUUGAUUAGGAAAUUUGCGUCAUGUGCAUUCCAAGCAUGGCGUGUGUGUGGGUUAAAAAACUGUUCUGGUUAUUUAAAAAAAAUGUUUUACAGAUGAUUCAGUUUUACCAUAGCCUCAUUAGUGAACGAAAUCUGUGUUCCUGGGAUGCAUUUUGGCUACUCGUUGUCUUGGCUUUGGCUGGGAAAUCUCCCAAGUCCCAGGAAGUCUGUCCUGUCUGAAGAAACGUACGAUCGCCUCCAAGGCUGGGUGGGGCACCUUCACAUCCUCCUGCUCUGCCCCUGAGACCCUCAUGGAUCCCUUUACUUCCUGCUCAAAAAACGUUCCCUACUUCCCAUCAGUUUUCCCAAGGCAGGCCCUGAGUCUCCUCUUGGUGGACGUCCUUAGCUACAUUUCAAUGUCGCCUUCUGCCCAACUUCUAAACAAAGGCAUGGAAAAAUUUAAGAACGGUCUGAAGUGCUUCAGGCUGAGGAAAGGGCUGGAGAGACCGGCAAAUGUCACAGAAGAAUGCAGGGAGGGGCGGUCAUCAAGAGCAAGCAGCAGAAUCCAAGAGCUGCUACUUUACAGAUAAGACACAGGCCCAUUUUCCACCCCAGUGCCUGCCAUGAUAAACGCAAUCUUGCAUUUUAUAGUCAUUGAAAAGCAUCCAAAGGAGUAGGUGGAGAUUUUAAGAAAAUAGAGCUGUUCCUAUUAUUUUACUUCAGGAAGGCACUGCAUGGUCAGCAGGUGUCCCCAAACCUCAGGAACUGUGUUGAGGACCAGGGCUACAAUGUAGUCCACGCAGCUUUAAGAAGUUGUUCAGGUACAAAUAUCUGGUGGGUGUCCUUUCACUCAAUAAGGACCUACCUAUAAUGUUUGUGUUCUUCUACUCUUUAUCUCUCUAGUUCACGGAAUGACAAUUCUUAGUCUUGAGUGUACAGGUGACUUUUGACACAGGCCAUGUGGGGCACACUCUAGAAAGGUAUACAGCACCCCGUCAUUCCAGACAACUUUCUUAUGCUCCUGGCCCCUGGCCAAUGCCUCCUUCUUCCUGAGGUAAUAGUGACUACACUAAUUCCUGUUACUAUAGAUGGACCAAGCCUUUUCUAGAAAUAUAUAAAAAUGGAUUCAUAGAUUGUCCCUUUGGGUCUAAUGCUUUAUGGUCUGAGCAUGUAGAGAAACCCCUAUGGACUUUAUGUCUGAAAUCAAAGGGCCACUCUGCAGGGAUGGUGGUGUGUGGGUUUCCUUAGGUCUCCUGAGUUUCUUCCUUGGGAUGGAGGACUUCAGAUGACAGUUUGGUUGGGGGAGGGAUGAGGAGGAAGCAGAGGUUGGGGGAGGGGUUCAUAGGUACUCUUCCCAUUCUUUUUUUUUUUUUUUUUUUUUUUUUUGGUUCUUUUUUUUCAGAGCUGGGGACCGAACCCAGGGCCUUGCGCAUCCUAGGCAAGUGCUCUACCACUGAGCUAAAUCCUCAACCCCUACUCUUCCCAUUCUUAAACAGCACAGCUGUCCCUUUCUAUGUUGUGAGAAUUGGGGUUCGUUGAAAAGCUGCAUUCGGGAAAGGAGAAAUGAUUCAUGGAAAUGUUAGCAGCAUGGGAAAUAUUAACCAUUGCGUAUUUGCAUUAAAGAACCACAAAUCUCAGGGUUCUUAUGUGAUCCCAUUUCGUGGCGGUCUAUAAAUUAGCAGUCUGGUUACUGCUGAGAGAGCAGCAAUAGCCAUGGAGGAGGGAGAAGAGGAAGCCAGACUGGGGACUCCCAGGGGAGGGCCUGAGCACCGAGGAUGGUAAUGUUAGCACUGGCUAGCAUCAGACAACACCAGCACCUAGAAGCCUAGACAAUAGGCCAGAGGCCACGGGCCAAGAGAGGCACAAAGACCGCAUUCAAAAGACCCCACUCUGCUGCCAGCCAGAACUUCCACAGACUCCAGCAGACCCUGGACGGGCCUGCACGCUACCACUGCCUCCUUUCUACGGUGAGUUGAUGACAGCUAAAAAUAAUGAACACAGGCAGAAAGUGCUGACACAGCCUUAGAUGCAGAGACAAACGGAAAUGUUGUUCUAGCCAUGAAAACAAACCAGCUUCAAAACAGCCCAGCAUUCCAGGCAGGCUGAGUGACAUUGCCACACUCCUCUAGAUGAAGGGGGGAUGGGCGAGCCAAGGGAACCUCCUCUACCUGCUCUGCCCCCUGAUCCCUGCCGCUUAAUCUAACCAGGACUUAUCCAAUUCUUUUUUUAUUUUUCACUCAAGGAAAAGAUACUAGAGAUGGGUUUAGAUCCUUCAAGCACAGUUUUCUUGUGAAACAAGAGGAAUGUCUCCAUCCAGCCAGCUGGAUUGCCCUUCUUCCCUUGAGUAGAUUAACCUCAUCUCUUCACCUAGAUAUGGUUUUAGCCACACGAUACCUUGUAUUUCUCUGGAAUACCAACCUUUUAUUUAGCUAUGCUAAAUAAACUAUUUUAAAAAGUGAUGAUGCCUCAAGUUUGAAGACACGAGAGUUCAAUUGGCAGCUACAAUAACCGCGAAUGCAAACAGCAAGUUAAGGCUGACCUCUGACCUUAUUCAUUAAGUCAUGUGUGGAACUUGGUACCACCACGCGCGUCCUCCAGCAGACUAAGGAGAGGGAAACCACGGAUCUGGAAAACAGGAAACACAAGAAUGUAAAUACACAUUUUUAAAAAAAAAUGUAAGCUCCCCAAUAUUUGAUUAGUCGGUACCUGCUGUUAUUUCUGUCUUUAAAGGAGGUCCAGAUUCAGGGCUGUCUCUUAUUUUGAAUAAAUGUAAGUUGACUUAGAUGAAAUCUCAUUCUGAACUGGACACAGUUUUGUGGAAAGAGAGGCUAACACUAGGCUGUAGCCGCAUAGCUCUUAUAGGGGACAACCUUUGAGCCUCCCAAAGACCUCCUUUUCUAUGGGGCUUCAAGAACAGUGCCCAAGAGUUUUACGUUCCCAACCUGGGAAGCAGGCUGAGAAGCAAAAUGAACCUCCAGGUCACGGGAGAUCUUAUGCUAGUGAGAGGCAGUCUCCCAGUCUAGGGUUGAGCUGGCCUCACUUUGUUGGUGAAGGUGUUACUCCUUCCUUGUUCCUGCCUUGAGAGAGGGCUGCAUGGGUCCUCAUCCCAGCCCAAAGUGGAGUUGCCUAGAGACCUGCUGAGGGCUGGUGGCAAGGGGCAGAACCUGUGUCUAAGGGUCUCCAUGGUUCAUGGCAAGCUGCCCUUCAGCUGUGGCUUCAUAACUUCUCUAAUGGUUGUGGGGAACUGAGAAGUCUCUGUCAGAGAUUAGGCACAUAAACAUCUAGAUUCCUGACACUCAGAGCUGAAGAGAAUUAUUUUUUUUCCUUUUUCAUAUUGAUUCUUUCUGUUUCACCAACGUAAUAAAAGAGUAUUGGUAUAAUUAUCCUUAAGGCCCUGCCCGGAGGCUGGAUCGUAAGUUGAUUUAUAAAUUGCCAGUCUUUGCUUCUUUUGUAUUCACAAAAAUAUCUAUGUAUCCAUGGCAACGGUGUGCUUAUGGGUUAUUUUGUUUUGUUUUGGAGACAAGGUCUCAGUUCUGCAGCCCUGGCUGUCCUUGAACUCAGUCUAUAAUUCAGGCUGACCUAAACUAAUGGUGAUCUUCCUGCCUCAGGCUUGUGAGUACCGGGAUUGCAACAGUGAACCACCUUUUCUUGGCUUGGGCAUUGGUGGUUUUUGUUUGCAUUGGUGUAUGUCAUAAAUAUUAUAUCUCUAAAUUGCCAUUCUCUGCUUAAGCUCACUGAGAAGCUGGCCCACUCACUCUUCCCACCUGCUGCAGACCCAAGCAUAUUGGUGGUCUUAAAGCAUCUUCCAAGAGUCCUUGACCAGGGACAGGCUGCUCCCUGACCUUAUGGGAAGAGUAAUGAAGAGGGCAAAGCAGCCCCGAAGUAAAGCUGUUAUGCCCCUAAGAACAGACAGAAAGACAAGCCACUGCCACACAGGUUAGCAGUGCGUUCAUCUUGUGACGUAAGAACACCUGCGGUGCUGGAGUGACCAACGCGCCCAACUUUUCACGAGAAUACCAUGAGCUGGAGCUCAGCUCCUCAUUCUUGUGGAACAAAUCUACGUCCUGAGCAAACGCCACAACACAGGAGCUGCAAAUUCACCACAUGACGUGACUUGCUAUUUCGGUAUGUCUUUGUCUACAUUGAAAAACCACAUAUCCUAAUUGUACAGAGUUCUUGACUAUGCUAUACAUGUCUACAUGCACGAAAAGUCCCUGUUUAUCACAUAAAGGAAGUCCUGGUCCCUUGGACAUGUGCAGCACGUGUUGGGCACCCGAAGGUUUACUCUGCUGCCGUACUCACGCCUGACCUUGUAUCCAGGAAGGCUCAUCCACACCAUACCCCCAUGCAGAACAUGCAGGCCAUACCAGCAACCCAUACUUAUUAAAACUGAUCAUUGCUAACAUCUUUCACGUGAAAGCCACAUUAAAGAUGACUCUGGAGAUGUAUUCGCUUAUUUUCUUCAAAAUCCCUCUCCACUGCUCUUGUCAUGAAGUUCUUGUCAUAAACCUUCUCAUCUGCAACCUCCAGUGAGUGGGGAACUGCUGAUAGUAUAGGGCUAGAGACCAAGACGUGGAGGAGCAUGAUGUAUCCUAAAAGCAUUUCCAAAGAGGGAAUCAAUAGAGCAAAGAGGUUUGUGCUUGGGGCUGAUUUGGUUUUAUUGGUAGCUUUGAGUUUGGUUUUAUUGGUAGUUUUGAGUACAAGCACAUCCUGGGCCCUGGCAUGAAUAUCUAAAAACAAACAGUGAUUCCUGUAGAAAUAUCAAACUUCAUAUAUAUAUAUAUAUAAAUAUAUAAUUUAAUAAUUUAAUUUUAACUUAGACUCUAAGGAAUAGAUUUGAAUGUGGUUACACGAAAACAAUAUGAAGCCCCCACCUGAUUUACAUUAAAUACUCAUUUUAAUUUUUAUUGUACCUUCUUCUUUUUAAGAUAGGUCCCCUUCUGUUUCCAAGACCAGCCUGGAGCUCAUCAUGUAGCCCAGGCUGGCUUAGAACUUGCGAUGUUCUGCAGCCUCCAGAGUGCUUGGGGCACAGGCAAUUCACUAAUAAAUUUUUAUAAAGUAUACUUUAUGGCUUGUAGCAGUAAUUUUUCAUGCUUUAGUCCUCACAGUGACCGCAUGAGAUAGUAUUUUCCACACUGGGAAAUGGCAGGCAGAGAAAGAUUAAGUAUCAUACCCAAUAGUAAGGGAGACACUGGUGGGGCCACACUCUGAAUGCCCUAUGACAGAUGCUGGUUUCAAAGUGAAAACCUUAAAGAACUGGAGAUGUUGGCGCUGGGGAGGUGGCCCCAGAAUCUGUGUAAUACAAGCAGCAUCUCCUUCACAGUGUUUCUGCAAACAAGGCUAGUCCAGUAGACAAGCUCAGGGUGGUGACUUGGCAGUGCAGAAGGCCAUUUAAAGAGGGUAGCUGGAUCCUAAACCCUCCCAACCUAAACCUGGUUUUAACUCUUCUCUUUAGAAGACAGGGAACUGGGAAUUUGCUCAGAGCUCAAAGGAGACUGUCCAAAAUGGAGAUGAGAAUCCUUUCCUGGAGCCACUGUAGUUUAGAAACUCGUGUCUUUUACACCUUUUAAAAUUGGGGCAAAACUAUGUUACUAGUGCGGCUAUUUUGUAGUUUCAAAAGAACCCUGUUUUGUAACUGAUUUGUAUUCCAACUUGGGAUACAUUUAUUUGUGGGUGGGAAGCCACUCCUUUUUGCUUAGUCAUCUGAGCUGAGGUGAGGUUGGCCCUGUUUCUCACUGCUGCUCCCAAUUAAUGCAAAUUGAAGGGUAAAGGACAAAUAAAGUUUCUUUAACUUGGUCCACUCAUAUGUUAUUUAUAAAUGGCUCUUCCCUUGAUCUAUUUUAGGGGCAGGCGGUAAUGGUGAACAGACAAAACAACACAGAAGGAACUAGCAAUUACAUAAUGUAUAAUUUUACUGCAAAGCUCGGAAAGGGUUAAACUUAUAUGUCAUAUAUUUGUUUAUUUAUUUUGCAACAGGGUCCCAUUAUGUAGCUCAAAAUUUACUAUGAAAACUAGGCUGGCCUCAGCUCACAGAGUGGCUUGUUUCUGCCUCCUAAGUCCUGGGAUUAAAGUUGGGGGGCAGCACAUCUGGCUAAUCAAAAAUCAAUCUCUGUCCAUCUGUCUAUUCGACCAUCUCUCGUGUCUCAGCUCUUACCUGAAAUAGUAGACCAAAUGUGUGAGCAGCCCAUGUUCCCUCUGCAUUCGUUUUUAAAGGGUUUGCUGAAUAUUUUUCAAAUUUAUUUUGACAGGCAUAUUGUAUUCCCUUAUGCACAGGGUCAGAGCUGUUGAAGCAAGUCAGGCUUUUUCUUUAUAUAUAUAUUGCAGGGGUUCCAGGUCUCAAUAUAUAUGGCAUUGCAUAGGACAACCUUAGUCAUUAGGGAAAUGCAAAUCAAAACAACCCUGAGAUUCUACCUCAUACCAAUCAGAAUGGCUAUGAUCAAAAACUCAGGUGACAACAGAUGCUAGCAAGGAUGUGGAGAAAGAGGAACACUCCUCCAUUGCUGGUGGGAUUGCAGACUGGUACAACUACUCUGAAAAGCAGUCUGGAGGUUCCUCAGAAAAUUGGACAUUGCACUACUUGAGGACCCAGCUAUACCACUCCUGGGCUUAUACCCAAAAUAUGCUCCAACAUAUAACAAAGACACGUGCUCCACUAUGUUCGUAGCAGCCUUAUUUAUAAUAGCCAGAAGCUGGAAAGAACCCAGAUGCCCUUCAACAGAGGAAUGGAUACAGAAAAUGUGGUACAUCUUCACAAUGGAAUAUUACUCAGCUAUCAAAAACAACGGCUUUAUGAAAUUCAUAGACAAAUGGUUGGAACUAGAAAAUAUCAUUCUGAGGGAGGUAACCCAAUCUCUCUCUCUCUCUCUCUCUCUCUCUCUCUCUCUCUCUCUCUCACACACACACACACACACACACACACACACACACACACACACACACAAACACACGCACAAACCCCAAAACAAGAAAAAAAACAUUGUAUGCACACACUGAUAAGUGGAUAUUAGCCCAAAAGCUCGGAUUACCCAAGAUACAAUCUACAGACCACAUGAAACCAAUCUACAGUGCAGAUGCUUCAGCCCUUCUUGGAAGGGGGAACAAAAAUAUUCACAGGAGGAGAUACAAAGGCAAAGUGUGGAGCAGAGACUGAAGGAAAGGCCAUCCAGAGACUGCUCCACCUGGGGAUCCAGCCCAUAUACUGCCACCAAACCCAGACAAUAUCGCUGAUGCCAAGAAGUGCAUGCUGACAGGAGCCUGAUAUAGCUGUCUCCUGAGAGGCUCUGCCAGAGCCUGACAAAUACAGAGGUGGAUGCUCACAGCCAACCAUUGGACUGAGAAUGGGGUCCCCAAUGGAGGAGUUAGAGAAAGGACUGAAGGAGCUGAAAAGGUUUGCAACUCCAUAAGAACAACAACGCCAAUCAACCAGAGCUCCC